rnacentral:rRNA from 1 species
CCUACGGGGCGCAGCAGUGAGGAAUAUUGGUCAAUGGACGAGAGUCUGAACCAGCCAAGUAGCGUGAAGGAUGACUGCCCUAUGGGUUGUAAACUUCUUUUAUAUGGGAAUAAAAUGUUCCACGUGUGGGAUUUUGUAUGUACCAUAUGAAUAAGGAUCGGCUAACUCCGUGCCAGCAGCCGCGGUAAUACGGAGGAUCCGAGCGUAAUCCGGAUUUAUUGGGUUUAAAGGGAGCGUAGGUGGAUUGUUAAGUCAGUUGUGAAAGUUUGCGGCUCAACCGUAAAAUUGCAGUUGAAACUGGCAGUCUUGAGUACAGUAGAGGUGGGCGGAAUUCGUGGUGUAGCGGUGAAAUGCUUAGAUAUCACGAAGAACUCCGAUUGCGAAGGCAGUUCACUGGACUGCAACUGACACUGAGGCUCGAAAGUGUGGGUAUCAAACAGGAUUAGAUACCCCUGUAGUC